rnacentral:rRNA from 1 species
CACGUAGGGUGUGAGCGUUGUCCGGAAUUAUUGGGCGUAAAGAGCUCGUAGGCGGUCUGUCACGUCGGCUGUGAAAACCCGAGGCUCAACCUCGGGCCUGCAGUCGAUACGGGCAAACUAGAGUACUGCAGGGGAGACUGGAAUUCCUGGUGUAGCGGUGAAAUGCGCAGAUAUCAGGAGGAACACCGGUGGCGAAGGCGGGUCUCUGGGGCAGUAACUGACGCUGGAGGAGCGAAAGCGUGGGGAGCAAACAGG